GCAGUCGCCGCGGUAAGACAGAGGAUGCAAGCGUUAUCCGGAAUGAUUGGGCGUAAAGCGUCUGUAGGUGGCUUUUCAAGUCCGCCGUCAAAUCCCAGGGCUCAACCCUGGACAGGCGGUGGAAACUACCAAGCUGGAGUACGGUAGGGGCAGAGGGAAUUUCCAGUGGAGCGGUGAAAUGCGUCGAGAUCGAAAAGAACACCAACAGCGAAAGCACUCUGCUGGGACGACACUGACACUAAGAGACGAAAGCUAGGGGAGCAAAUGGGAUUAGAUACCCCUGUAGUCCCUGUCUCUUAUAC
rnacentral:rRNA from 1 species